AGAAUUGAUCUUGGUCAGGACGAACGCUGGCGGCACGCUUAACACAUGCAAGUCGAACGGAGGAUAUUUGAGUUUACUUAGAUAUCUUAGUGGCGGACGGGUGAGUAACACGUGAGCAACCUGCCUUUGAGAGAGGGAUAGCUUCUGGAAACGGAUGGUAAUACCUCAUAACGUAACGAGACCGCAUGGUCAUGUUACCAAAGAUUUAUCACUCAAAGAUGGGCUCGCGUCUGAUUAGCUAGAUGGUGAGGUAACGGCCCACCAUGGCGACGAUCAGUAGCCGGACUGAGAGGUUGAACGGCCACAUUGGGACUGAGACACGGCCCAGACUCCUACGGGAGGCAGCAGUGGGGAAUAUUGCACAAUGGGGGAAACCCUGAUGCAGCGAUGCCGCGUGGAGGAAGAAGGUUUUCGGAUUGUAAACUCCUGUCUUAAAGGAUGAUAAUGACGGUACUUUAGGAGGAAGCUCCGGCUAACUACGUGCCAGCCGCAGC
rnacentral:rRNA from 1 species